UUUCCGUAGGUGAACCUGCGGAAGGAUCAUUACAGAGUUCAUGCCCUCACGGGUAGAUCUCCCACCCUUGAAUAUUUAUACCUUAGUUGCUUUGGCAGGCCGUGGAAACACCAUGGGCUCCGGCUUAUGCGUGCCUGCCAGAGGAAACAAACUCUGUUUUUAGUGAGGUCUGAGUACCAUAUAAUAGUUAAAACUUUCAACAACGGAUCUCUUGGUUCUG
rnacentral:misc_RNA from 1 species